rnacentral:sRNA from 1 species
GGGUGGCACCUCAGGGGUGCCACCUGCACACGAAACAGAUAGUGUUGAUUUACAGACUCAGCCCUGUUCCGUGUGCAGCACUAUUGACGCAUGAAUAAACUGGUAACGCAUGAACCCCAUCGUAAUUAACAAGCUUCAACGCAAGCUGGGCUACACUUUUA